rnacentral:rRNA from 1 species
AGUGGGGGAGUAACGUAGCGAAAGUUACGCUAAUACCGCAUACGAUCUAAGGAUGAAAGCAGGGGAUCUUCGGACCUUGUGCUCCUGGAGCGGCCGAUAUCUGAUUAGCUAGUUGGUGAGGUAAAGGCUCACCAAGGCCACGAUCAGUAGCUGGUCUGAGAGGACGACCAGCCACACUGGAACUGAGACACGGUCCAG